AAUAAAUAACACAGAGGUAAUUUUUGGAGAUAACCUGAGGGCACUGUUUUUUUCCACUAGGGAAUCUCAUGCCGCAUGGUACCUGACUCAGUGUAACAGCACCAUGAAAGAAAGAAGGUCACGGUGUUGCAUUCACUGAACAGCUUUCCUACUAUUUAGCUUCUUGGAAUGGGAGGAAGACAAACAUAUUGAGUAAAAGGACAUUGUACAGCAGAAGUGAGAUUCUAUGUGCAGAAGAGACAUGAUCUUCACACAGAGAUAGGCCACUCAGGAGAACAGAGCUGUGGUGGCAGAGCCACUAAAUGGAAAUCAUGUGUUUCGCUAAACCAUGGUAAAGAGGACAGCUGCCAUGAAGAGAUCAGCGGAGAGCUUUAAGAACAGGAUAAAUACCCAUCUGCCUGGAAAAUCGCCUGCAGGCAGGGUGAUGGACUAGAUGUCUUACUUAGAUUCCUUCCAACCUUCUGAUUCAGAGCUCUCCACUGCUGCCAACAGAGUUAGUUCUGGUGGGAUACAUUCAGGACUGCAGACCCUCCUGCCUGUGCAUAAUG